GAGUAGUGAGAGGCAUAGGAUGGGACAGAAGGAGAUGCUAAACAGUGAUGCAGAAGCAGCGAAGACCUCCGCAAUCCUGCAGGGAAGCUUGGGAGCUGGUACGGCCCUGCAGAGAUGCACUGAGCCUGACUGCUGCUGGAGCCCAGUGUGAGUCCUGGCAGAAGAAAUCUGCAAACCCUAGUCAGAUGUGUUUCAGCUUUGCAGUGGAUGGUAGGGCCACCCUCCCGUUGGGGUCAGGUCAGAGGACAUGACUCUUUAACAUUACUGAAAUUACAAGUUUCUUGAAUACAAGAUGAAGGAAGAGGUCAAAUAUCAAGUAGUAAGUCACACAUUUAAAACAGAAUUUGGCUUCUACAUUUUCUUGGGAAUGGGUAGAGAAAAAAGCUUCCCUUUCUCUGUUUAAAGAAAUCAAAACUUUAGAGGGCUCUAGGAAGAACAAAGAGAAUCUUCACAUAAGAAAUAGAAUAUUGAGAGCCCUUAUUAAGAUAAUUUUCUUGCUCAAAGAUUGAAAGACUCAGUGCCUUUGGAGUUUGGCUCUGGUUGAGGGAGGGGAUGGGAUGAAGUGACAAAUGCCUCAGAGGUUAUGGCUAAUGGUGCCUUUGGAGAGAGAAGUAUUGGGACAUGUGUGUGGGAAAACAGGUUUCAGAAUGUGAUGGCAGCCUCCAAAAUGGCCCCAGUGAUGCCCUGUCCUGGUGUUCACGUUCUUGUAAAAUCCCCUCUACCUUGAGUGAGGGAUGCUGAUGAAUAAUGAUGGGAUAUCACUUCCAAUAUUAGGUUACAAAAUGACUCUGGUUUCCAUCUUGCUCACCCUGAGGGAAGCCAAGCUGCCAUGUUGUAAGCUGCCCUAUGAAGGGACCCACAUGGCAAAGAAUGGAGAAUGACCCCAGCCAGCCAAGAACUCUCAGCCUACCGGCCCAUGAGGAACUGAAUCCUGCCAACAGCGAUGUGAGUGAACUUGGAAGUGGAUCCUUCUCCAGUGGCACCAUCAGCUCACCAUCCAGCCCGCCUGAGGCUCUGCCCACUGACAGGCUACUCCCAGGACAAUACUAGCUCCCCAGGACAAGCACUACACCCAGACGGCAUGUCAUUCAACAAGUCGGGGGCAGGCUUAAGGUGAAAAAUCAUCCCAAUUCUGGAGAUAUUAUCUGAAAAAAAAAGACUGUUUUCAGGAAACAAUCUUCCCAUCUGUGGUGAUUUUUAAAAUAUAGUUCCCAAAUUUUAUGUGGGAAAGGAAAGUAGCAAUAUAGAUGCAGGAAGAGCAUUACUGUGUGGAUAAAAAGAUGAUGUAUGCAAAUGAACAUGCUCAGCCUAGAACUUAAAUUAAAGUUACUGCCUGAUAUGGUAGGUACUGUGGUCUGAAUGUGUCCCCCAGAGUUCAUGUGUUGGAAACUUAAUCUCCAGUGCAACAAUGUUGAGCAAUGGAACCUUUAAGAAGUGACUGGGUCAGGAGAGUUCUGCCCUCAUGAAUGAAUUAAUGUCAUUAUUGCAAGAGUUAGUUAUUGCAGGAGUAGGUUCCUGAUUAAAAAGUGAGUCCACCCCCACUUCUCUCUCUUUUUCUGUCACGCACAUAUGCACUCUCUUGCCCUUCUACCUUCCACCAUGUGAUGACACAGCAAGAAGGCCCUCACCAGAUGCAGGCCUCUCAACCUUGGACUUUCCAGCCUCCAGAAUUGUAAGAAAUAAAUCUCUAUUCUUUAUAAAUUACCUAGUCUCUGGCAUUCUGUUACAGCAGCACAAAAUGAAUUAAGACAGUAGGAAAGAUCAUUGACACUGUUACAGACCUCUAAGGCAUGAUGAAAAAGCAAAUAUGCCCAUGUUUAUGCAAAUAGCAGAGUCAGUUAAAGAGGCCAUAACAUUGAUCAUAUGGGACUUCAAUAGCCCUGAAAUGGAUUAGAACAAGAAUUAUGGGAUGGUAAGGAGAGGCCACAGAGCUAGCAGUGAUCAGAAGCUCUUUUCCAGGAGACUUUGUUGAGCAAUCAAAAAGAUCAUGGGCUAUUGGGGGCAGCUAUCUGAAAAGUUGAAUGCAAUGAAGGAUGAAGGAUGGGGCUAAAAUGCUAAAAGCAGCGUUUUCAACCAAGUUGCAUUUCAAUUUAGUCUUCCCAUCUGUGGUGAUUUUAAAAAUAUAGUUCCCAAAUUGCCGGUAGCAUCUGGGGAGCAGGGUCUGUGGGCAGACACCUGCUCACCAGUGAACAUUUGGAAUGACAUUUCUGGAGGGAGGUGUCAUUGUGGCUUAGAGAUUAAUCCAUAAAGAAGACAGACUUAGGGAAUCCCAGAGUAGCAGAGCUGGGAAGCCCUCGAAGAUAACAGAGCCAAACUGCCCAGAGAGGGUAAGUGACAUACUCAAUGUCACACAGCCAGUAAUUAAUGGAGAAGGGGCUGGAACUCCACUUUUCUAAGUCUCUGUUUAGGACUGCAACAUCCCCUGGAGUGAGUGAAAGGAAAGUUCUCGAAGGAAUCUCCUCAAAAGGGAUGUAGAAUAAGAGUGAAGUUGUUGCCUCAGAAAAAAAAAAAAGUGAAAAAUGAAUAACGAUUGAUAAAUUCAGAUCUCCAUUCUCGUCAGAAAAUAAAAUUUCUGGUAAUUAUUAUCCCUCACUACCUUAGAGAAAACAAGAAGAAUGAAGAUUGUCCUAACACAAUUAUGUAAAGGCAAGUCUAAGAAAGGAGAAGGAGUUGAUUCCCAUGUAGAAGUCAACCAUCUAGGCUAACUGUUCAUCCCACCCCAAUGCCUCAAACCCAGGCUGCCCACCUAUUUAUCACACUUUUGCAGGUCUGUGAAAGUCAGCAACAAAUACCGUAUCUAUUCCAGGAGAUUGUCCUAGAGCCUCCUCAAUUUCUCUGUGGACACUAUGCCUGCUCUUGUCUCCCUGGUUCUGAUUUCCAUGUCUGCUGCCAGUUUUAACAUUGUUCCUGGCCUUCUCAUAUUAGUCACCUAAGCCCCUCCUCUUGGGCCUUGGGUCUCAGCCUCAUCUCAUCCUAACACUUCCUACUAACCUGGUGAGAAGCUCCCUGCUCUAGCUAUAGCCCGCUAAGCCUGUAUGCUGGCCUAGCUCCCAGAUGCUCUCAAGUAAAAACAAAAAAGUAGACAUUUUGUCUUGAACCCUAAGUUUCCAUGCUGGGGGGAGGGAUAAGAUUAUGACCACUAUCCAUACCCCAUCUCUUGAGAAUUUGGAGCUGUGGGACGAAAAAGAAGAACCAGAGAGUUGGCUGCAGCUGGCAGAAGAAAAAGGACAGAUGGUUCCCCACAGGAAAGGCACCAUCGGCUGAAGUACCAGCCUCACUCCUGUGGCUCCUACCUGCCAUGGUGCAGGUGCAUGUGUAUGCAUGUGUGUGUGCAUGUGUGUAUGUGUCGCCACCCUGUGAUACAGGGUUGCAAGCCCCACCUGCUUGGGCCUAUGCAAAGACCUACCAAAAAAUUCUCUCAUUUGCUACUCAGCAGUUUGAGGAAAAUAAACUUGAAUAUAUCAGUCCUAAUCCAGAAAGGCUUGAGAUGGUUGGUUGGAGAGUGUUUUCCAUGAUGUUGGCCUGAAGCCCUUCAGCCACUUUGAACAGGGUGCCCCCACUGGUGUCCUGAAGCUCAUCCUGCACCAAGCAGAAGCGAGCAGAAGAACCCCACACCCUGCCCCUGCUGCAACACACUCACCUGGAGACCUAAAAUGUGACCUCCAUGUCCCCUCUGUGAGAACAGCUUCUUCCACCUCUGCUGUGGGGAACAGCAGCAUCCCAGGCAGAGGGAACUGCAUAUGCAAGGAACCUGGGUGGGGUGGGGGGCAAUGGUGGCCGGCGUUUGAAGAACAGUAAGGCAGUCAAUGUUGCUGGAGCCCAGAGAGAUAAUGAAAGGUGGAUGACGUGGGGUCUUAUAGGUCACCAUGAGAGCUUUACUCUAAGGUGUUGGGAAGCCAGACACCUGCAGACAUGUCUGCAAAUACCUUUGAGGUUUGUCUGAAUCCUCAGCUGCAGAGGAAAACACAGGAAGUAUGGGAGUUCCCCACAAGAGUUCACAUUUGAACUAGGUUGUUUUUUUUUUAACCGCAACCUCUGCCUCCUAGUUGCAAGUGACUCUCCUGUCUCAGCCUCUCGAGUAGCUGAGAUUACAGGCAUGUACCACCACACUGGCUAAUUUUUUGUAUUUUUGGUAGAGAUCGGCUUUCACCAUGUUGGUCAGGCUGGUCUCGAACUCCUGACCUCAAAUGAUCUGCCUGCCUCAGCUUCCCAAAGCGCUAAGAUUACAGGUGUGAGCCACCGCACCUGGCCUUGAACUAGGCUCUGAAGGAUGACCAGGAGUUUUUCAGAUGGGGGAAAGAGGAGCAAAGCAUCCCAGAUAGAGAGACUACUAUAUUCAAAGGCUAAGAAUGGUGAAAGAGCAAAACGUGUUCCAGGGUGGCUGGCCGUACACCUGUCUGGCGUUCAGGACAGGAGGAUGUUAGAGGAUGCUGCAGCAGAAUGCAAGGCUCAGGUGUGGUUGGGGUCAGAUAGGGAGGACCGUACACAAGGCAUCAUCUCUAGCUUCCUUAGGAACACAUUCCCUUCUUUGAGAACUGCAUUGGCCCCUAAUGAGCUGAAGUCACUUUAUUACUUACUGCAGCAUAAACGAGCGCUGUUAUGAGAGGCAUAUGGCCCAUCUCCCCGCUCCUUCUUCCCAUCCCACCCUCGCUCCUGAAAUCCAGGCAGCUGCCUUGGGCAGCAUCAGAAAGUCCCAUGUGCUUGAGGCUUUCAGACAGCUUUUCCCCAAUAAGACAAGCUCUCUACUUAAUCUGAAGAAAUGGAGUGUUAUUAAAUUAAUUUCUGAACUAUCCUUGCCUUGUCCUUGAACUAAAAAGCUAAGGACCCUGGAGUAAAAGGCAGGGGAUGAGGUGGGAGGGGUGAAGGGGAGAAGCAGAAUGAGGCAGGGCAGCAAAGAGGCAGCAGAGAGGCAAGUUCCUGACCCAGGUCUGCCCGACAGACUCGUUCCAGCAGGUGGGCUGCCUCGUGCUGUCCAAGGCACUGUGUUGAAGAGGUUCAGUAAGUAAAAUAAGAAAUGAGAGUCCUCUGAUCAGCUACUGUACCCAGGGCCCUAAAAAUGAUGGAAAGGUGGCCUCCCUCUGCCAUGGGGUCAGCCCAAAAGUAAUUACCAGGAUACUUUGCAGAUUAUUGAAUAAGUCCCUGGAACCGGCACACUGAUUUAUAUAAGACCUGGAGAUUUUGAGAGAUUUGAGAGAAUAUUAAGAAUCAAUCAAUAUUUUAAUUUAUUUCAGGGUCCUGGAGACUUUAGCUCUGUAGAAAACCACAGGGAGGAAAUUGUGACCUUUGAAAUAUGGCUGGCUGGCAGGCAGCAGGGAGGUACCUCGGCAAAGAGCCUGUUUGGCAGCUGCUGCGGGGAAAGACUUCUCUGUGCUGGAAUGUUCUCUUUCUUCACAGCAUCAGUCAGGAAUUUCAAAUAGCCAAAGAGGGGAGGGCCUCAGGGUGAGUGAGCUCUGGAGCCCUGGCAAGAAGGCUCUUGGCUUGAAUGUGCAUAGCUUACUCCUCCCCAGAGAGAGUCCCCAGGGCCUGGAGAGAGGAGCCUGCAGACUUUGUGUCUCUGCCUAGGAGGCGCUGCUGUGAUCUGGAGACGUCCUCGUAGAACCACCUGAUGAUGUGUCAUCAUUGCAGGAGAUCCAGUACCUUCUCCCCUGGGUCACUAGGCUCCCUAGGCCAUACUCUUCCUGUGUCCUCCCCAGGGCUUUACCAGACAUCUCAUAGAGCACGUGAGCACCAGGUCUCGGACUAUCACCAUCCUCCUGUCUUAUUCCGCAGGAAGACUGUAAGCUCCCUUCAGGCAGGAAUGAUGUCUGAUCCAUUUCUGUGUCCCCAGUACCUGGCAUCAUGCCUGGCCCAGGAUAGGUAGAUAUGAAAAAUAAUGUGUUGAAGAAAUGAAUGGUCAAAUGAACUAAUGCAAGAAAAAUAAACAUUUGUUUGUAAAAAUCAGUUAUGUUUCAACAGCAAGCAGACGGCACAUUCAAAUGUAGUAAUUAGAGAAAUUCAGAAAGGUGAAGACAGGGUGGAGGUAACUGACCAAAGCAUGCAGCACCCUGGGGCUGGCAGCAGUGGGAGAGAAGGAGCUGUUAGCACCCCCAGGCCUGAUGCGGCUAAGAGAGAAGCGGGUCCCAGAACCUGGAGCAGGCCACUAAAACGGAGAGGUGGCCUUUUGCAAGGGAGGCAGCCACACCCUCAAACCUGCAGGGAGGAAGUGGGGGAACAAAUACCUUGACCUCGCCCUCUGUCCUUCCUUGGAUCUCCUCCCUGUGUUCCUCACUGGCCAAAGCCAACCAGAAGUCAGAGGCCAGUGGAGCUCCUUGAUCCAGAGUGGAGAGUAGACAAAAGAUCCCCAGCAAAGGGCUGCCAGGUAACUCUCUGCCUAUUCCAUCUGGCUUGUCCAGCCCCACGAGAAGGGCAGACAAUGGGCACCCCAAUCAGUAGUGCCAACUACUGGGGCACCCCAGUAGUUCUCAAUAAGGGGCAGUUUUGCCAGCCGCUGGGGGGAUUUGUUUUUCACAACUGGAAUGGGGAGGGUGCUACUGGUAUCUAGUGAGUAGAGGCCAAGGAUGCUGCUAAACAUACAAAAAUGCAAAGGACAGCACCCACAACAAAGAACUAUCCAGCUCAAGAUGUCGAUUGUGCCAUGCUGGGAAAGCCUGGCCUUAAUCAAAUGUUGAGAGGAACUCAGGCACACUCUGUGCUGCCCUGGCUUCAGCCAGAGAACAUUGCCUCACUGUGCUGGAAAGGGCAGCGUCAUUUGGUCCAACCCAGAGCCAUCGGCCAGUAAGUGACCAGUGUCUGACUUUGAGUGUCCCUUCGGGAAGGUGCUUUAAGGAGAAAGUCUAUCUGCUCUCUGUCUCUCCUCACUGACAGUGAUGUCCUAGGGUGUCCAGAGUGGUAGACGAGUGGCAGGGAGCACUGCUCAAGCCAUGGGCAAUUAGCUUUCCCCUGGAGGCCAAAACCUCCCCACUGGGCUCACCACCUCCCCAACUCCCCUGAUAUUGAGGGGAACGAGAAAGCUUCUCGUUCCCCUCAUUUUCAGCUUUACAUUCACACCAUAAAAACAUUUUGUAAAAGUGAAUCAAGUCUUGCCAUCUGUCUCUCUCACUUUUAUCAUGUUUAUAAUGAAAAGAAGAGUCAAGAGGAAAUGGAAUCCAAACUGCAAAUGGUGUGCUGCUCCCUGGUAGCUGAGAUCCACCCGAGCAAGGCAGGGACUUGAGGAAGAGGGUGGCCCUUGUGGCGCAGCAUCAUGUACAAAGUGAGUUCCAUCAGAAUCUCAUGCGAAGUUCUCAUGGCAGCCCUGGGAAGUAGAGCUUGUAAUCCACAUUGACAGAUGAGGAAACUAAGGUUUUUCAGGGGAGAUAAGUACUUCAAGGUUGUACUCCCAACAAGUAGCAAAGGUCUUAAACUCUGUACUUGGCCAUCAACUCCAAGUUGUAGACCAAUGUUGCUUCCUAUUUCAUCCUGACGUGAAAUUGUUAGCUUACUGCUACUGGGGUUUAGGUACCAUAUUGAAAACUGUUGAAGUUUAAGUGACUGUGGUACUUAAGAGAGCUCUAUUUUACUCCCUGUCACAGCUUAGAGAUUUUGUCCCUCAUCUGACCCUCCAGGGUCACAGCCCGGGAGAGAAUAAGUUCCAUGUGUACAUUCAUGUCACAAAUAUUCAUUGAGAAAACCAUGUGCCAGGUGCGAGAUGUGGGAUGGCCAGAGAGUACCAUUCUGAGCAGGGCAGCAGAUCUUGAAAAAGGACCCUUGGCACCAGAUCAGAGAGGAACCUAAUAAUGGCAGGCUGCAUUUAUUGAGCACUCACUAUGAGCCAGCUACUGCUCAAGUACUUUCUACAUACUAACUCAUUGAACCCCAUAAGGCUGAUACUCUUACAAUUCCCAUUUUACAGAUGAGAUGACUCAAGCAGUUUAGAAAAUUGCUCGAGGAACCCAGCUUAAUAGUUGUUCUGUUCUGACACGUGCUAGAGCGUGGAUAAAUCUUAAAGACAUUUUGCACAGGGGAAAAAGCCAGUAACAAAAGGAAAAAUACCGUGUGAUUCCACUUAUAUGAGGGACCUAGUGUAGUUAAAUUCAUACAGACAGAGACUAGAAAGGCUAGGAGUUGGAG
rnacentral:lncRNA from 1 species